GUAAACCAAUUUAGUCAACGGAAAGGUCGAUAUUUCUGAUGUUACCAGUGCAGAAACGUACACAAGGUUGCCACCUACAUGUAGAAAAUUGAAUAUUCCACAGCACCUAGGCGAGGGAUCAUCAACCUGCGGCUCUAAAGCCACAUGUGGCUCUCUGGCCCCUCCACUGUGGCUCUUAUAAGAGCAAAUGCUCCUGUCACUCCAUUUCCCAGGUCAUCAUAGAACUCCGACACAGAUGGAGCUCUCCUGCAGUAUGCAGUGUAAUGCCCCAAACCACC